rnacentral:rRNA from 1 species
UACGUAGGGGGCAAGCGUUGUCCGGAUUUAUUGGGCGUAAAGCGCUCGCAGGUGGUUCGAUGCGUCGUGCGUGAAAGCCCCCGGCUCAACUGGGGAGGGUCGUGCGAUACGGUCGAACUGGAGGCCAGUAGGGGGAUGCGGAAUUCCGGGUGUAGUGGUGGAAUGCGUAGAGAUCCGGAGGAACACCAGCGGCGAAGGCGGCAUCCUGGACUGGUCCUGACACUCAUGAGCGAAAGCGUGGGGAGCAAACAGG